CCUACGGGAGGCAGCAGUGAGGAAUAUUGGUCAAUGGGCGUAAGCCUGAACCAGCCAAGUCGCGUGAGGGAUGAAGGUUCUAUGGAUCGUAAACCUCUUUUAUAAGGGAAUAAAGUGUGGGACGUGUCCUAUUUUAUAUGUACCUUAUGAAUAAGGAUCGGCUAACUCCGUGCCAGCAGCCGCGAUAAUACGGAGGAUCCGAGCGUUAUCCGGAUUUAGUGGGUGUAAAGGGUGCGUAGGCGGCCUUGUAAGUCAGCGGUGAAAGUCUGUGGCUCAACCAUCGAAUUGCCGUUGAAACUGGGUGGCCUGAGUAUGUUAGAGGCAGGCGGAAUGCGUGGUGUAGCGGUGAAAUGCUUAGAUAUCACGCAGAACCCCGAUUGCGAAGGCAGCCUGCCAAGCCGUGACUGACGCUGAGGCACGAAAGCGUGGGGAUCAAACAGGAUUAGAUACCCUUGUAGUC
rnacentral:rRNA from 1 species